CAGAGGGUGCGAGCGUUAAUCGGAUUUACUGGGCGUAAAGCGUGCGUAGGCGGCUAAUUGAGUCGGAUGUGAAAUCCCCGAGCUUAACUUGGGAAUUGCAUUCGAUACUGGUUAGCUAGAGUGUGGGAGAGGAUGGUAGAAUUCCAGGUGUAGCGGUGAAAUGCGUAGAGAUCUGGAGGAAUACCGAUGGCGAAGGCAGCCAUCUGGCCUAACACUGACGCUGAGGUACGAAAGCAUGGGAGCAAACAGGAUU
rnacentral:rRNA from 1 species